UUCUAACUGUUAUACACUGCAAAUGUAUAUAAAACAGGGGAGAACUCCUGAAGAUUAAAAAAAAACAUUGGUGGGUCUAUGAGGCAAAAUUAGUUGUAGAAAGUUUAAAAGGAAGACAUCAGCCUUUUAAAAAGGAACCUGUUGGAUAAGUUCCCAUUCUUCUCAAAAGGAAAGAAAAACAUUUUGUGAUUAUAUUUUGGGACCAAAGCACCAUCAGCCAUGUCACAUAAAUCCUCAGAGUGGAACUCUGGCCUUCUGUCCUGUUGUGAUGACAUGAAUUCUUGUUGCUAUGGUUUCUGGUGCUGCCCCUGUCUUGCCUGCACGGUUGCAGGCAGCUUUGGAGAGAACCGAUGUCUCCCGCUGUGCGACAUCUGCAGCCCCACAGCGUUCUCGUCAUUCGGUAUACCCCUGUGUGUGCCCCCCGCGGGCUUGUCUCUCAGAGUUGGCAUUCGACACAUGUAUGGCAUUAAGGGUUCCCUCUGUAGAGACAUUGCCACUUCUUGUUUCUGUGUUUGGUGCAAUUGGUGUCAGAUGCACCGGGAGUUAAAAAUUCGUAACAGAGACACCAGUGUGGUCAUCAAGCAGCCGACACCAGCAGUUUCUAAAUAAACUGGAACUCUUUGCUGAAGUUGAGUUCUUA